rnacentral:tRNA from 1 species
GGGAUAGUAGCUCAACAGGUAGAGCGAAGGACUGAAAAUCCUUGCGUCGUAGGUUCGACUCCUACCUUUCCCACCA